AAGUCGUAACAAGGUAACCGUAGGUGAACCUGCGGUUGGAUCAUUAACAAAAAGAUAGGGGUCAGACCUUAAACCGUCUGGCCUUUAUAAACCCCUGUGCACUUGUAAUGUUUGAGGCAAGGUCAAAUUGGAGACCCAGUAGGGUCUUUGGGAGAGUUGAAGGCAACGCGUUCACUCCCCCCCUUGCCUCUGCAUCAACAUUUAACAUGUAUAUCUUGAGCUAGUUUAUUUAUUAUAUUAAUAUCUAACAACUUUUGACAACGGAUCUCUAGGCUCUC
rnacentral:misc_RNA from 1 species